rnacentral:rRNA from 1 species
AACGAACGCUGGCGGCAUGCCUAACACAUGCAAGUCGAACGAAGCCUUCGGGCUUAGUGGCGCACGGGUGCGUAACACGUGGGAAUCUGCCCUUCGGUUCGGAAUAACAGUUAGAAAUGACUGCUAAUACCGGAUGAUGACGAAAGUCCAAAGAUUUAUCGCCGAAGGAUGAGCCCGCGUAGGAUUAGGUAGUUGGUAGGGUAAUGGCCUACCAAGCCGACGAUCCUUAGCUGGCCUGAGAGGAUGAUCAGCCACACUGGGACUGAGACACGGCCCAGACUCCUACGGGAGGCAGCAGUGGGGAAUAUUGGACAAUGGGCGAAAGCCUGAUCCAGCAAUGCCGCGUGAGUGAUGAAGGCCUUAGGGUUGUAAAGCUCUUUUACCAGGGAUGAUAAUGACUGUACCCACAGAAUAAGCCCCGGCUAAAUUCGUGCCAGCAGCCGCGGUAAUACGUAGGGUGCGAGCGUUAAUCGGAAUUACUGGGCGUAAAGCGUGCGCAGGCGGCUUUGCAAGACAGAUGUGAAAUCCCCGGGCUCAACCUGGGAACUGCAUUUGUGACU